UACGUAGGGUGCAGGCGUUAAUCGGAAUUACUGGGCGUAAAGCGUGCGCAGGCGGUUUGCUAAGACAGGUGUGAAAUCCCCGGGCUUAACCUGGGAACUGCGCUUGUAACUGGCAAGCUGGAGUGUGGCAGAGGGGGGGUGGAAUUCCACGUGUAGCAGUGAAAUGCGUAGAGAUGUGGAGGAACACCGAUGGCGAAGGCAGCCCCCUGGGCUAACACUGACGCUCAUGCACGAAAGCGUGGGGAGCAAACAGG
rnacentral:rRNA from 1 species